UCCACAGGAUCAAUGUGAAGCCUGUGGUGAGACGUGUUUCUGUAAACAUCCCAGCGUGGACUCGGGGUCAAAUUCCUCGCCACAUUUUGCCUGCAGCUCUGUGUGUUGGCCUGGGUCUCUCAGCAGUUUGAGCUGCAGAARGAAGUGAGUUUACUGUAACGCUACAUUUUCUUCUAGUUACUGACAUCACCUUGAUUUUGUCUUUUUGAAAACAGACUCUCAGAACUAGAAAGCUCUUUACAUCUACCUGACCGUGUGUGAUUUUAGCUGCUAUUUUUGCUUGAAGUUAAAGAAUAUUCUGAGUUUCAGGAUGGGGGAACGGACAAACCCGUUGGUCCACUCGGUCCCACCCCACGCUCUGACCCGGCUGGCACGAGACUGGCUUUCAGAAGACACGCCGAACUUCGACCCGGCGGGAGUGUGCGUCGGCUCAGAGGGAGUUGAGGCCAGGCUGCUGUGUAAAACUCCUCACACCGUCCUGGCAGGGAGUCCUUUCUUCACAGCUGUGUUCACUGAGGUGGGCUGCACCGUGGACUGGAUCCACCAGGAAGGAGCUCAGACCGGUCCAGAUGAGGUCACCCUGACAGCCGUGGUGAGAGGCCCGGCGAGGUGCCUCCUCCUCGGGGAGCGUCCGGCUCUGAACUGCCUGGCCCGGGCCUCGGGCAUCGCCACCCAAUGUUCACAGCUCAGGGCGCGGGCGAAGGUCGCGGGCUGGCACGGAGAAGUGGCGGGCACCAGGAAGACCACGCCGGGCUUUCGGCUGGUGGAGAAGUACGCCAUGCUGGUGGGCGGGGCCUCCAUGCACAGGCAGGACCUGAGCGGGAUGGUGAUGCUGAAGGACAACCACAUCUGGGCAUCAGGAAGCAUCACAGAGUUAGCUGUGGUCUGGAACGCUGGGGGCGUGUCCUCUGGAGGAGCUCAAACCACGCCCACGACCCUGAACAUUCCUGUAACUGAGGAAAAGGCAACUUCUCUUAUUUUGCUAAAAGGCCGUGAAGGCGGCGCGGUCCGUGUGCRGCUUCAGCAGCAAGAUGGAGGUCGAGUGUUGUUCGGCUGAGGAGGGCAGAGAAGCAGCUGCAGCCGGCGCAGACAUCGUCAUGCUGGACAACUUUCAACCUCAGGAGCUCCACGCUGCGGCCCGGACUCUAAAGAACCAGUUCCCGACUCUUCAGAUCGAAGCCAGUGGAGGGAUCAGUCCAGACAACAUCAC